rnacentral:misc_RNA from 1 species
AGAACACACACAAGAAUAAACAAACGUGCGUCUGCCCUUUUCUUCUUUCACAUCUCAUCCCUCGCGCUUGCCGGCACACACGACACUCCCCACCAAGCCACACCUCUCUGCCCCACCGCUGUGCGUGCCGCAUCGCUCUCCCUUUAUCCCUCCCUCGCUCUUUCUGUCGAGCCGCUCGUCCCUCUCUAGCCGGGUGACUCUCUUCCGCACUCGCUUGCUGAGACACACACGCACGCGCACACAGAAGGAGAGUCUAUUUUUGCUUUGUCUGUUGUUGCGUUCGGUGCCUACAUCGCCAUCCGCCUCGAGAUCGUCUCACACCCCACCCCACUUCCCUCCUUUCUUCUGCGCGGGGCCACACACGAGCAGCCUCUGCUUCCUUGCACACCCUCGAGACAGCACAUCAUUCAAAAUGGGAGGCUGGCUGUCAUCGCUACUGGGCAAGAAGGAGGUGCGUAUCCUCAUGGUCGGUCUUGAUGCCGCCGGUAAAACCACCAUUCUGUACAAGCUGAAGCUCGGCGAGGUCGUGACCACCAUCCCGACCAUCGGAUUCAACGUCGAGACGCUUGAAUACAAGAAUCUGAAGUUCACCAUGUGGGAUGUCGGUGGCCAGGACAAGCUUCGCCCGCUGUGGCGCCACUACUAUCAGAACACGAAUGGUAUCAUCUUCGUGGUCGAUAGCAACGAUCGCGAUCGAAUGCGCGAUGCUCGGGCGGAGUUGGACAAAAUGCUUGUUGAGGACGAUCUCCGUGCCGCGACGCUGCUCGUGUUCGCCAACAAACAGGAUCUUCCGAAUGCCAUGAGCACAACAGAGGUGACGGAGAAGCUUGGCCUGCAUGCCCUGCGCCAGCGCAACUGGUACAUUCAGGGCUGCUGCGGCACCACCGCUCAGGGUCUCUACGAGGGUCUCGACUGGCUUUCUGCCAACAUCAAGAAGUCCAUGAACUAAGACAAGUCACCGUGCUCUUCGACCGCCUGCAUCGCGCACAGACAACGCCCUCCUGUGUGUUGAUGUACCAUGGGACAGAGAUGACAGUGAUGGUGUACACGGAUGUGUUUCACGCUUGCCUUCUGUUUCCUGCCCCUCCCCUCCCUCUCCCGAGCACGCAUAUUCUGCGUACGGCUGCGCGCCCGUAUGUCUUUGUCGCUCCGAUUGUUUAGCUGGUUUCUUUUUUAUUAUUAUUUUCUUUUUGGUACUUUCGCUUGCCGCUCCGCAAGACGCUGUGUCUUCGGGCGACUGUCUGUGCACUUGCUCAAGCAACGCACGUCCACGCAGAUGCAUGGACUCACACAUCCGCAUGUUUAUGGUGCUGGUCGCCGCCACGUGCUGAGGUGUGUGCGGCGUAAACCGAGGUUCUCUCUGCCCGAGCUUUUCCUUUGUGGCUGAUGGCCAGAGGAUGCGCUGAUGCGGCAGUGGCAUGUCUGUGUGCGUGAGUCUGCCGACGCCACUUCCUCACCCAUUAGAACGGUGCGCAGGACGGGACGUGGGAUGGUGAAGCGCUUGACCAGAAAUAAAGCACGAAGAAAUGAAAUGGAGGCCCAUGUGCAGCCGCACAACCUCCCCCCUCCCUUUCUCUUUCACGCACACGCACACGCUCACGCACGCGCUGACGCGCUCCUCCUGUUACGGCCCUCCUCUUCUGUCGUAGUUUCUGGCGCCUUUAGAGCGUCUUUCUUCUCGCCGGGCAUUUCUGCUCGCCGUUGUCGGUGUUGUUGCUCGGUGGCGUGCGCGCUUUCCGCUCCCUCUCGUUUGUGUCGAACAUCCACAUGAGGAGCAGCGAGGACGGCGUUGACAGUAUGUCGUGUCUUCCCCCGCCUGUUUGGUGAUGUGGGAAGUGUGGACAACAGCAACAGCAACCCGCAAGAAAAAGUGAAAUCAGCGAAGGGAGCGACAAGUGCAGUGCGGAGGUGAUCAUGCCACGUGCGGCGUGCAAUGAAAUAAGCGAAGACCGAGCUGUGAAAGCAGUAGCGGUGCUUGGGAGAGAGAGGGCAAAAACGUGGAGGAGAGUCGGGCGUGAUCCUUCCAUACAUAGUGACACACACAUACGCGCUGGUACGAUGCACUCACUCCGAUUUCGUUCAAGCGCUACCCCGCUUUUGCGCAUGUAUGAGCGUGCCUGGCAGACGCGAUGGCGUGGCGUAUUUGUGACUUUCUGUGUGUGUUUGUGUGUGUGGCAACGGCAUCCCGCUCUCUCCCUCACGCAAGCGUAUUUUUCAUAUCUUUCUCUCUUCCUUUGUUGUGUUGUGUGCUGUGUGCUGUGUGCUGUGUGCUGUGUGCUGUGUACUGUUCGAAUGCAGCCUCGGAUAUAUCCGAAUAUCCGUUGGAAUCUGCGCGCGUGCUUGUGUGGGUGUGUGCAUCUCUGCCCCUCGCUCUCUUUCUGCAGUUGAGCUCUUAAGCGUAGGAAAAGCCAAGACCAAACGGACCGCAGUGGUGCCCCCCACGCCCCACCCCACUCCUCCACCCCUCGCUACCUUUGCCGGAGAUGUGUUUUGGUUUUAGUUUCCCUGUGGUAUCUUAUUGUGCGCAUCUAUACCUCUGAUAGG